AUUGGCCAAAUGAAUUCAAUGCGAAGUUUAAUUUUCAAGUGUCGUUCCUGGGGUUUUUUGAUUUGUUCUUUUCUUGGGAAAGUUGAUUAUUAUGACUAUGAGGAAAAUAUUAUGCGGUUCAAGGUACUAAACACCUGACACCUUCACGACUGAUUCACCAACUAUAGCGCAAUACACGGUUUGAAGAACUUUUACAACCAUGUAUGCAGCUGGUUUACAGUACGUGCUCAGUUUUGAGAACUGGCUCACCAUCUCCUCGAAUACCUGAGACCAGACUCGAUUUUUGCAAUCCUCGUUGCGUAAACUUCUAUCAAACAUCAACUUUUUUUGUUCCGGAACUUCAACAUUAACAACUUUUGCCAACUCUGGGCAUAAAAUUGGGUCCUGCCUGCUGCAGUUUUGACCCGGAGUCCUGGAUGCACUCAACUACGUUAGCAUGGAGCUGUAAUGUACAGUAUUGGACGACGUAGCACUCUAAAAUAAUUGUUUACAGAGGAAACUAUUAGGCCGAUAACAUCGCACCUUACUCCAACAACGCGCGCUCCUUCAACUUCUUUAACUCACCGUCAGGUAAGUCACCUUCCAAUUUCGUAACUACUUGUUACUAAAACCUCCUACUAAACUCCUACUAAACUCCUAGAUACUGGUUCAAAAUUUAUGCUGUCCAGAUUUCACUGUUUGUAACAAACUGUCCUGAUAACACUGAGAUUCUGACGAAAAAUAACUUAUUAACUUCAACAGACCUCACGAAUCAAACAAACGUACACAAACAGGAAACGGACCAAACAUUUAAACAAUUUCCAGGACUUACUAUUUUGCCAAGUAUCAUGAUUGCUCUGCCUUACGAACAACCAAGCUUCUCCAUCUCACUAAGUGAGAGAAGUAACGAAACUCCUACUACUUCCUUAUCAGCCUUCUGCUGAACUCCUUUUACCAAUUUGAAUCAAUUUGUUGAAAUAUCUAGGAAUUCUUAACUAAAAGAAUCAGAAUUUCUGUAAAAAUUGUUCCUUGAUAAAACUCCUACAAGUCUCCACAACUCAAACAAAAGCUUGUGAUGUGGAACUCAACUCACACUUCUUUCUAACUUGCGACUAAUUUCAAAAUAUUCUCACCUCUUUGGUAUUCUAGUACGUAUUCUUGCUCAGUAGUUCAGGUUAAAAUUCAAUAUGUUCUUGAUUUCAUCAUCUUUCAUGCUAGUACUGGGAUGUACUAAAUUAGUUCUCAGGGAUUUGGGUAUAAAUUAU